AACUUCUUCAUACGAAGUCAGAUUUGGGCGUUCUUUUUAUCGAUGUUCUUAGUUUAACAUAUUCUACGACUUUCGUUUAGAUCACUAAGGCUAAAUCUCGCUCUAUCGUAAAUUCACUAUUCACGCUUCCCGGUAUCGUGCCGGUUCUGUCGUGAAACUUCGACGGGUCAUAACUUCUUCGUUAUAACUCGGAUUUCGGCGUUCCUUAUAUGCACGGAAACCUUGAGACAUAUUCUACAACUUUAUGUAGAGAUAUCGGGAUUAUCUCACACUUUAAUUUUGACGCUCAUUUUUAUUCUUUAUUAAUUAUACAUUUAUAAUUAAAUAAUAAACACAUAUAAUUCACAUAAUACUCAAAUAUUUCAUCUUUAUUACUUCAAAAAGAGUUACAAGAGUUGACCUAGACUAUUACAUUGACAAAAAUGCUUAGCCCUGAAACCCGGGCGUUACAAUUCUCUCCCCCUUAGGAUGAUUCCGUCCCGGAAUCAUGCAUCAGCAAACAGAUGUGGAUAGCGACUCAUCAUGUCAUCCUCUGUUUCCCAAGUGAGAUUCGGCCCAUUCGAAUGUUUCCAUCGGACUAGCACCAAGUCGACCAUCUUGCGUCGUAACUUCUUAGUCUUACGGUCAACAAUUGCCUCAGGCUCUUCGAUCAACCUUUUAUUUUCAUCCAUCCUUAACUCUGAGAUUGGAAUUAUGUCGGGAACAUCUCCCGUGAAUUUCCUCAAAUAACACACAUGGAAGGUGUUAUGAAUACCAUUGAGUUCUUCGGGCAAUUCCAGCUUGUAAGCUUGGUUCCCUAUCUUCUGAAGAACUUUGAACGGUCCAAUAAACCUUGGACUCAACUUUCCUCGUUUCCCAAAUCGUAUAAGUCCCUUCCACGGUGAGACUUUAAGCAAAACGGAAUCCCCAACUUCGAAAGUUAUCGGUCGUCUUUUCUUGUCAGCAUAGCUCUUCUGACGAUCCUGGGCUGCUAACAUCCUUUCCCUAAUCACCUUCAACUUCUCAGCAGUCUCAUGGACUAUCUCGGGGCCCAUAAACUGCUUCUCUCCGGCUUCAAGCCAACAAGACGGCGUACGACACUUCUGCCCAUACAAGGCUUGAUAAGGAGCCAUCUUGAUGCUCGAGUGAAAACUAUUGUUGUAGGAAAAUUCUACCAGAGGUAAGUGCUCGUCCCAAUUCCCUUGGAAUUCGAGGGUACAUGCUCUCAGCAUAUCUUCCAGCGUCUGAAUCGUUCUUUCGCUCUGACCAUCAGUUUGCGGAUGAUAAGCAGUACUCAAACACAACUUUGUACCUAACUCCUCUUGUAGACUCCUCCAAAACCUUGACGUGAAACGACUAUCACGAUCUGAUACAAUCGUAAGAGGGACACCGUGAAGUCUUACAAUUUCCUUCACGUAAGCAUUUGCGAGCUUAUCCAUAGACCACUUCUCGUUGGCUGCUAUGAAGUGUGCACUCUUGGUGAAACGAUCCACGACUACCCAAAUCAUGUCGUGACCGUUCUUCGUCCUGGGCAGUUUAGUCACAAAAUCCAUGGUGAUGUCUUCCCAUUUACCCAUGGGUACAGGUAAAGGUUCUAAACUCCCAUACGGUUUCUGAUGUUGUGCCUUAACCCUCGCACAUGUUACGCACUCGGCCACAUACUUCGCAACAUCGAGCUUCAUCGUCGGCCACCAGUAGUAGGGUUUUAGGUCCCUAUACAUUUUAGUGCUACCGGGAUGAAUCGAGUACAUGGUCUUGUGUGCUUCUUCCAUCAGAAGAUCUCUUAUUCCUCCCGUCUUAGGUACCCAAAUUCGAUCUUGGAAUACCUUCAGUCCUCGACUGUUUGUACCGAACACUAACGUUCUUCCCAAACGUUCUUCCUUUCGGUCAUUUUUCUCUAAAGCUUCUUCUUGAGCUUUCCUGAUACUUUCCACAAUCGUCGAGACGACUUCAAUUCUUAACGCUCUUGGCCUUUUCCUUUCCAGAUUGACUUUCCGACUGAGAGCAUCAGCAACAAUAUUUGCUUUACCUGGGUGGUAAAGUAUCUCACAGUCGUAGUCCUUGAGAAGUUCUAGCCAGCGUCGUUGCCUCAUGUUCAACUCCUUCUGAUUAAAGAGAUACUGGAGACUCUUAUGAUCAGUGAAGAGCUUGCACUUCGUGCCGUAGAGGUAAUGCCUCCAUAUCUUUAAGGCAAAAACUACCGCUGCCAACUCCAGAUCAUGAGUGGGGUAGUUCUUUUCGUGCUCUUUCAAUUGUCGAGAUGCGUAUGCUAUCACCUUUUCUCUUUGGGUCAGAACACAACCCAACCCGACUCCAGAAGCGUCACUAUAAACCGCGAAAUCUUCGACUCCAUCGGGUAGAGAAAGUAUCGGUGCUUCACAUAACUUCUUCUUUAGCUUCUCGAAUGCCUCAUCGUGUUUCUCACUCCACGUAUACGUAGCUCCUUUAUGAGUCAAAGCUGUUAAUGGAGCAGCUAUCGAAGAAAAGCCUUGGAUAAAUCGUCGAUAAUAUCCGGCUAAUCCUAGAAAGCUUCGAAUCUCCGUGGGACUCUUUGGACGUUCCCACUUCAUUACAGCCUCGAUCUUUGCGGGGUCAACCAUUAUUCCCUCCUGGUUAACAACAUGACCCAAGAAUUGGACUUCCCGUAUCCAAAAGUCGCAUUUGGAGAACUUUGCAAAAAGCUUCUCCUUCUUCAACACUUCUAAUACUUCCCGUAGAUGCUUGCCAUGCUCCUCUUGGCUUUUCGAGUAGAUGAGAAUGUCGUCGAUGAACACUAUCACGGAUUUAUCGAGGAAUGGUUUACAAACCCUAUUCAUCAAAUCCAUGAAUGCUGCGGGAGCAUUGGUUAGCCCGAAUGACAUAACCAAGAACUCGUAGUGUCCAUAUCUCGUUCUGAAUGCAGUCUUCUCAAUAUCCUGCUUUCUCACCUUUAGCUGAUGAUAUCCUGACCUAAGAUCGAUCUUUGAGAAGUAGCUCGAACCUUGCAGCUGAUCGAAUAGGUCAUCAAUCCUCGGCAAUGGAUACUUGUUCUUCACCGUUGCCUUAUUCAGCUCUCGGUAGUCUAUACACAUUCUCAUACUUCCGUCCUUCUUCUUCACGAAUAACACCGGAGCUCCCCAGGGUGAUGAACUAGGUCGAAUAAAACCGUUGUCCAACAGCUCCUGAAGUUGCGUCAUGAGCUCCUUCAUCUCCGUCGGUGCUAAUCGGUAAGGUGCCUUUGCUAUCGGUGUUGUUCCUGGUAACAAGUCUAUACGAAACUCCACUUGCCUAUCAGGUGGUAAUCCGGGAAGAUCUUCGGGAAAGACUUCCGGAUAAUCACACACAACCGGUAUAUUCUGCACCUCUUUCUUCUCCUUCUUGGCAUCGAUUACGAAUGCCAAGUAUGAUGCACAUCCUUUGGACAAACAUUUCCUGGCUUUCAUCAGGGAGAUGAUUCCAGAAUUCACUCUGCGUUUGUCCCCAUACACCAUAAAUGAUUCUUUUCCGGGUGGGUUUACCUUUACUAUCUUCUUUCGGCAUUGAAUCUCAGCAUCGUUGGCGCUAAGCCAAUCCAUACCCAAAACGAUGUCGAAACCGUUUAACUCUAUGGGUAAUAGCUCUUCGUGGAAUUCGUUUCCGUUUAGGUCAAUGACGAUGUUCCUAAUACGAUUACUAACAGGUACGAAUUUGCCACUGGCAACUUCUACAAUCAGGGCAUUAUCUAGUUUUUCUACAGGCAAUGCUAAUUUCCCACCAAAUUUAUGCGACACAAAGGAGUAGUUGGCUCCGGAAUCAAAUAGUAUAUUUGCAGGCAAACCAUUUACAAGAAAGGUACCUGAAGCGACGUCUGCUGCCUCCUUUGCAGCCUCGAGCGUCAUCUGGAAGGCUCUCGCCUUCGGCUUCGGUGGUAUGUUGGGUCUUCCUGUCUCCUUCUUCUUCGGGCAGUCCUUCAAAAUGUGCCCUUCUUCAUUGCACCCAUAACAGGCUUUCUGGUUGAGGGUGCAUUCAUUGGCGUAGUGCCCAGGCUUUCCGCACUUGUAACAAGUGACCCCUCCGUCACACUUCCCAGAGUGCUUCUUCUUGCACUUGUCACACCACUUCGCUUCUGAUCCUCCUCCCCUCGAACCAGACUUCGAGAAUCUACUCUUCUUGUUGGACUUCGAGGAUCCAUUGAACUUCCGUUUCUCACCAACCUCAGCCCUCUCCAGACCUCUUUCCUUUUGUUGGGUCUCCACGUUCUUAGCUGCUCGAACAGCUGAUUUCAGAGUGGUUGCCAUCUUGACUGUUGGGCCAAAGUCAGCCGGCAGUCCGUUUGCGAAUUUCUCAAUUUUGGAAAGUUCGGUUGGCACUAGGUAUGGAAACAACUUCAUCUUUUCCGUAAAUGCAGCAGCAUAGUCAUCGAUGCUCAUUCUCCCCUUCUUCAAAUUUUGGAACUCAUUGUUCAGAUCAAUCAGGUCUAUCUCUGAACAGUACUGCGCCUUCAGUUGUUCCAAGAACUCAUCCCAUGACAUUUUCAGAGCUUCUCCCCGUGGCAUUGUAUCUGCCAAUAGCUUCCACCAGCUCAAGACUCCAGUUUUCAAUUGUCUCACAGCGAAGACAGUCUUCUGCUUCUCGCUGCAGUCGCAGCUCUCAAACACCAUCUCCAUCUCGGAGAUCCAGUCCAUAAUCUCAACAGGCUUUGGGCUUCCUGAGAGACUUGGUGGUUUCGCACCCAAGAAAUUUUUGUACAUCCGCCCAUCCUUGUUGUUUCUCCCUUCUGGGCCAUCCUUUUGCUCACCUUGAGUCCCUACUUGACUCACUUGGCGGCUAUAGUUCCCUUCCUCAGAUGGCUCGGGAACUGGCUCCGUCGGUUCAACAUGUAUGGUAGGUUCGUCCCUAUUUUCGUGGAGCAUCCGUCUCAUUUCUUCCCUUUGUUCAGCUAGCAUAGCCUGAAUCAUGGCUUGAACUCCAGCCAUGGUGACUGGCUCAGGUGCAACUUCUUCAACAACAGGUAUUUGCUGAACCACUGGGGGUUGGUUCCUACCUCCAUUUGCGUUCACGUUUCCGCUACGGGUCCUUGCCAUCUUGAUCUAUACACCGAAUAAGGUGAAUUUAGAUCUUUAUUUAGGAUAGACGUUUUAAAUCGUCCUUAUCACUCCGAAACGUUUACAUGCUAGUUCUAAUAUCGUAGUCGUACGUUUAGAAUCCUAAACACAUAAGGUUUCCAGAUCCGGUCGGCAACAGACCAUAGAUCCGAACAAUUAACAGCAUAUUAUGCACAAAGCAUUUAGCACAUAAAAGCAUUUUAGGCACAAUUCCUAAAAUAAGCUAGUGCUCACACCUCACAAUCAUCGCUUAGCAUUCUAAGUUUAAGUCUAGAAAUCCUACAAAUUCCUAGUUCGCUUAAACUAAUGCUCUGAUACCAACUGUGACAUCCCCAAAAUCACGGCCAGAAAAGACCGGUUUGUUUAUGCUUUGUUUAAAAAUCAGAGUUACAUUUUAAAUGAAAGUGUUGCGGAAUUUGUCCCAAAACAAAAAUAUGAUAAAGAUUUAUCAAAAGCAUUUCCAUAGAAAUGUAUUUCAUUAAAAGACUCGGGAUGUCAUGUUCGUACAGAUCAAAAGCAUAAACAGUACAAUAUAAGCCUUACUACAUUAUUUCAUAUCUACAGGCCUAUAUCCGUAAUCCCUCGUCCAAAACAUCACACCUAUGCUCAUGCGCCACUACCUGUAAUACAUAAAACUGAGUGGGUCAGGCUUGGGAGCCUGGUGAGCACAUAGGGUUUUCAACCCACAAUAAAUAAGUUUAUUAAUUUCAUCGAUCAACAAUAACCCGAUUACCCGUUCCCGUUAUCCUCACUUUACGUCCCUAAACACCUAUCAUAAGGGACCUAGCCUAAGGAUCAUCAUCGGGACGGACACUACUGCUAAGGGGAUUCCUCAGCAAUAAAUGUCCUAAAGGCAACCAUGUGGGGGAUGGAGUACACCGGUGAACAUAUCGUUCACAAACACCUACAGGUUGCGAGCCUGCUAGUGUUCCACUGGACUGUCUAGAAGAGUCCGUGGUCGUCAUCCAUACUCCGCUAGAUGACAGAAUCAACAACAUCAACAUCGAGGCCUCUCAUCAUUUUAUCACACAUCACCUAUUGCAUCUACCCAUGUUUUACCCCAACAUUUUCGUAGAUAUAAAAUACAUAUACAGUUUAAAUCAUUGAAAACAUGUAUAACAACGUUCAUCUAGCAUAGAUAGCAAGUAUUCAGAUAAUAUGCACACAUAGCACGUAAUUUAUAUAAAAUACUUCAUAUCUAUGUGUAAGUUGAAAGUAACUAUGCACUCACUUGUUAAGGUGAUGAUUCCAAAAUCGGGCAGCGCUUGCUUCUAACGAUUCUAUUUUCCUUCGACGAAACCUAGCAUUAUUAUCGCUAAAUUUUAGUCUAAUAUUUACCGUGACCAACUAUUAGUCUUAGUAUUAUUAUUAUUAUAUAAGCGUUAAACAAUAUUUUCCAACCACUAUGUACAGACAGGGGCCAGACAUAAAACACCGGAGGGCAGGACCAUUUUGGCAUAUAGCACUUCUGAAAUCCAACAACCCUAUGCGGCCCUUUAAACCAGAUUCCCCGUACCGCGAGUAGUUAAAAAAAAAUUUAUAACGACACUUAUAUAAGUUAUAAUAAUAGCUCAAAUAUUUAUUAUAAGUUCAUAAUAACAAUACUAAUUUUAAAUAUAAGCUAUAUUAAAAUAAGGUAAGCAUAACUUACUUACAAGGGGGUUUUAGCUAGGAGUCGGGCUCUGCAGGGGCAGAACUUCGUCGCUGAAUCUUUCUAAGAAAGAUUCGUGCAGCGCUUCAGCGCUCACCUUACUAUACUAAGCUACAGAAAGAGAAGUCGAAUCACGAGGGACCGAAAUGCUCGGGGGAUAAGGAGAGAAAGACUCUUGAAUCAAGAGAAUGGUGCAAGAAAUAUGAGAGCCCAAGGCUCUUAUUUAUACUAAUUGAAUUUUCAAAAACUACCCUCCAUAAUUACUUAAUGACCUUUUAGUUAUAUAAACAACUAAACACCCCUCUAUAAUACUAUUAUAAAUGGAUUUAAUGAUAUUUGUACUAAACUAAUGUCGAAAGAACUCAACAUUAGUCUUAUAAUGACCGCAUCGUCGAUACCUUUCUAAUGAUAUAUACAUAUGUAUAUAUAUGUGUACGUAUACAUGAUUUAUACUUUAUUUUAAUACGUAAAUAUGCUAUUAUAAUUUGUAACUCGUUCAUACGAACUCCGUUUUUGACGUUCUUUAUAUCCACGCGAAGGUGGGAACGUACUCUACCACUUUCGUUUAGACUCCGUCGGCUAAUUUUGGCUCGAUUUUAAAUUUUAUACUAUUAACGGGCCGGGACACGAUUGGUCCGUUAAAUCCUCAUAACUUCUUCAUCCGAUUUCCGUUUUCGCCCAUCUUUUUCUCGUUAUGCUACUCUCAACGAGAUCUUCGAUUUUCGUUUAGGUCGUGUCGGCUAAAAACCGCUCGAUCUAAUAUUCGAAUUUCGGGUUGUACACUGCUAUUCCGAAACUUCGAAAAAUCAUAACUUCUUCAUACGAAGUCAGAUUUGGGCGUUCUUUGUAUCGAUGUUCUUAGUUUAACAUAUUCUACGAAUUUCGUUUAGAUCACUAAGGCUAAAUCUCGCUCUAUCGUAAAUUCACUAUUCACGCUUCCCGGUAUCGUGUCGGUUCUGUCGUGAAACUUUGACGGGUCAUAACUUCUUCGUUAUAACUCGGAUUUCGGCGUUCUUUAUAUGUACGGAAACCUUGAGACAUAUUCUACAACUUUAUGUAGAGAUAUUGGGAUUAUCUCACACUUUAAUUUUGACGCUCAUUUUUAUUCUUUAUUAAUUAUACAUUUAUAAUUAAAUAAUAAACACAUAAACACACAUAAUUCACAUAAUACUCAAAUAUUCCAUCUUUAUUAAUUCAAAAAGAGUUACAUGAGUUGACCUAGACUAUUACAUUGACAAAAAUGUUUAGCCCCCAAAACCCAGGCGUUACACUAUUUCACCCCACAUGCAUAUAGCACACAAGCACAAAUGUAU
rnacentral:lncRNA from 1 species